rnacentral:rRNA from 1 species
GAGUUUGAUCGUGGCUCAGGAUGAACGCUGGCGGCGUGCCUAAUACAUGCAAGUCGAGCGAACGGACGAGAAGCUUGCUUCUCUGAUGUUAGCGGCGGACGGGUGAGUAACACGUGGAUAACCUACCUAUAAGACUGGGAUAACUUCGGGAAACCGGAGCUAAUACCGGAUGAUAUUUUGAACCGCAUGGUUCAAAAGUGAAAGACGGUCUUGCUGUCACUUAUAGAUGGAUCCGCGCUGCAUUAGCUAGUUGGUAAGGUAACGGCUCACCAAGGCAACGAUGCAUAGCCGACCUGAGAGGGUGAUCGGCCACACUGGAACUGAGACACGGUCCAGACUCCUACGGGAGGCAGCAGUAGGGAAUCUUCCGCAAUGGGCGAAAGCCUGACGGAGCAACGCCGCGUGAGUGAUGAAGGUCUUCGGAUCGUAAAACUCUGUUAUUAGGGAAGAACAUAUGUGUAAGUAACUGUGCACAUCUUGACGGUACCUAAUCAGAAAGCCACGGCU